AUAAUACUUUAUUAUAGUUCAAACUGUAAAGGCAAUGUAAAGUAAAAGUUAUAAAUAACCUGAAGACGAAAAAGCAGGAUGUCAUUGCCAUAGCAUUGACAGAAGUGAAAAUGACACAUUUAACUGUCCGACUACCAGAUUUACUAAUAAAUAAAAAAUCCCAGCAGUGGCGCAGGAUAGUUGUUAAUUGGGGGGGGGUCACAAAUUCAUUUAUGCAUGCCUUAAUCUGUUGAAAACAAUGGAUUUCAAAGGCACUUAAUGUGGCAGAACAUGAAUAUAUGAAAAUGUGCCUCCUACCCAAAAUAAAGAGUCUGCUAUGUCAUUUAUUCCCAGGGCAUCUUGAAGAGCUCUGGCAUUGUGUGUAACAGUUAGUAUUUCAUUUUGCAAGGAACUUCUUAUUUUUUUCCAAAACAUUAUUUGAACAUUAGAGAAAUUGUGUACAAACUAUAAAAAGUUUAUAUUUGGAAUAUAUUUCUAGGGCAACACCCUCCUUUAAAGUAUGUAUCCAUGUUCAGGAGUGAAUGACAUGACCAGACAUUUUUGGCUAAUGUCUUUACAACUGAUAAGAACAGUAAAUGAGUCAUUUCUACUGGUGUCUUUACUACUGAUAUGGACAGUAAUGAGUCAUUUUCAUUGCUAUGACAUCCAUGUCUUGCUUUUGCUUUAGUUUAUACUUUACAUUGCUUUGAAACUGAUUCUCCCAGCUACACAAUUCUCUAAAACACAAAUUAAAUUUUACCAUUUAUCACUGUGAACAGAAAUUUGUAUAUUUACACAGCAAAGCCAGUGUUUGGGCUUUUUAGAAAACUUACUAAGCACUAUAAAUUUUACAUGUAAAUAAUGUACAUGUUAAGAUUUUUCUUAUCAAACAACAAAAUGAACCAAAACAAACACUCCAUUUAAACCUUUGCCUACAGAAAUUAAAAAUAUAACUGUUGCUGGUCAGCUAAAGGAGAAAGAAAACAUACCCAAAAGUCAGGGCUAACAAAGCAUCUUGUUCCUUGAAAUGGAGCCACAAAUCCAUUCAUUUCUGUAAAGACUAAACACAAUAAAAAUCCUUUGCUGGCAAGCGUUUUGAUAGAUCUGGCAUUGGUGACCACCUGACAAUACUUGCUAUACGCUACGAGUUGUCAUGGUGUUAUUAAAGGGCUGAAUUCUGA